AUUGAACGCUGGCGGCAUGCCUUACACAUGCAAGUCGAACGGUAACAGGUCUUCGGAUGCUGACGAGUGGCGAACGGGUGAGUAAUACAUCGGAACGUGCCUAGUAGUGGGGGAUAACUACUCGAAAGAGUGGCUAAUACCGCAUGAGAUCUACGGAUGAAAGCAGGGGAUAGCAAGACCUUGUGCUACUAGAGCGGCCGAUGGCAGAUUAGGUAGUUGGUGGGAUAAAAGCUUACCAAGCCGACGAUCUGUAGCUGGUCUGAGAGGACGAUCAGCCACACUGGGACUGAGACACGGCCCAGACUCCUACGGGAGGCAGCAGUGGGGAAUUUUGGACAAUGGGCGCAAGCCUGAUCCAGCAAUGCCGCGUGCAGGAUGAAGGCCUUCGGGUUGUAGACUGCUUUUGUACGGAACGAAAAGCCCUGGGUUAAUACCCUGGGGUCAUGACGGUACCGUAAGAAUAAGCACCGGCUAACUACGUGCCAGCAGCCGCCGUAAUAC
rnacentral:rRNA from 1 species